GCAUUGUUUUAAGGAUCGAGGAAAGAUAUUAAAACAGCAGUUUAAAAAUGCGACAACGGCAAUGGAAGAGGAAGUGAAAGAAAUCAUUCUUUUCAACAAAACAAAAGAUUGUCCAGCUUCGAACAGAUAAAUUUUAUGACGGUAACUUUUAUUGCAUUAGAGUUUUCACAAUUCAUUCUCAAAAUAAAUAUUGAACUUUGUGAAGUACGUCGCAAUGAUGCAUGCUACUGGACAUAUGCUACCUAUUCUCACACCCUAACAUACUCAGCAGCGAAGGAAAUAUGUAAAAAAAAAAUUCUACUGUAGCUAUCAUACCUAAUUGAUCUGGUUACGGUGAUGUUCGUGCCAGUCUGAACAAAAGAAUUACAAAAGUACGGGCCGAAUAUGUGGAUGCAUGGCUUGAAAUCAGGGUUGAUCCAAGGAGUGAACAAAUCACCUACCCCGAUCCUGAUGUGUUCAAAUCAUGGGGAUAUAAAUAGCGCACCAUUCAAGGGAGAGGACAAAACUUAAGUGUUUGUUUUCUUUGCCCAGGUUUUAUGGAAUAAGAAACGGUGCCCCAACGGGUUACCAAAGCGCGGUUGUUUGCCAAAUAUUAAGUCAAACGAUCAAAAAAUGAAUUUGAGACAAUGCAUUGUAGACUUCACUAACAUUUGUAUUAUUCAACCGAUGUGAACCGUGCUUUGAAUGAAAACGCUCAUUUAUAUAUUAUAGCAUUAGAACGUUUCGUGCUCAAAUUCUUUGAAAUAUAUUUCAAUACUUAGAAACAUGAUUUGGCAAGCACGAAAAUUGUUUUUUUGUUGCAGUAUAUAUUGUUACUACUAUUUUGAUGAAGAUAAGUAACCUUGGCUAUAGUCGGAAGAAAUAUUCUGUAUUCUUUUUUAGCCUCUCUUGUUCAUCCCGUUCACUGCAGCAGAUUUGACUUUAUUAAAAUAACCAAAUGCCAACUGCUAAACUUCCCUGAUCCAAGUGUCUGUUCCGCACCGCUAACACCUGUGGCUUACGAUGAGUAUUUUGUCAGAUAACCUAUUUGUUCUAUACCAGGGGGGACGGGGGCAAGUUUUUUGGACCAGGGGCCAACAAUUUUGUUCAACUAGAUUUGCGGGCCAUGUUAGCGUGACAUAAGAAGUUACAUUUGAUGAACAGAAUUUUAUUUACAGUGUUACAAGAGCAAAAGUGGAAAAAAUGAGCCUUGUGCCAAAACUAAAUUCCAUCACCAUUUCGACAAAUUUCAUGAGCUAUUUUUAGCUCAAACAUCAAAAUUUGGUUUUAGUUUGGUUGUGGCAGCAUCAGCCGGGCCAGUUCAAAUUUGCCAACGGGACGGAGUUGGCCCGCGAGCCGUAGUUUUUUUCAUGUCAGUUCUAUAAGAUUCAUGUCUAACUCCACCAGGCUAACCCUUACUGAACUUCCAUCGACAAAUCCUACACGCUAACACCACUACCUGAUAUUCUGCAAUAUACGCAGUCGAAAGUUUUUGUGGCGUAUAUGAGGUUGCAGUGUGACAAGGAAGUCAAAGGAGCUCAAUGUUUCAGAAAUAUUACAGUAAUUUAUUCUCAAAUACAUUCCAAUCUAUUAUUUAGUUUGGGGUAGUAUUUCCCCAGGCUUGUUCAUGGGACAUAUUUUUCUGUCCCAUUCCCAUCACAUAGCAAUUAUGCCCGUCCCAUCCCAUCCCCU